GAUGAACGCUGGCGGCGUGCCUAAUACAUGCGAGUCGAGCGAACAGAUGAGGAGCUUGCUCCUCUGACGUUGGCGGCGGACGGGUGAGUAACACGUGGAUAACCUACCUAUAAGACUGGGAUAACUUCGGGAAACCGGAGCUAAUACCGGAUAAUAUAUUGAACCGCAUGGUUCAAUAGUGAAAGACGGUUUUGCUGUCACUUAUAGAUGGAUCCGCGCCGCAUUAGCUAGUUGGUAAGGUAACGGCUUACCAAGGCAACGAUGCGUAGCCGACCUGAGAGGGUGAUCGGCCACACUGGAACUGAGACACGGUCCAGACUCCUACGGGAGGCAGCAGUAGGGAAUCUUCCGCAAUGGGCGAAAGCCUGACGGAGCAACGCCGCGUGAGUGAUGAAGGUCUUCGGAUCGUAAAACUCUGUUAUUAGGGAAGAACAAAUGUGUAAGUAACUAUGCACGUCUUGACGGUACCUAAUCAGAAAGCCACGGCUAACUACGUG
rnacentral:rRNA from 1 species